CCUACGGGUGGCAGCAGUGGGGAAUAUUGGACAAUGGGCGAAAGCCUGAUCCAGCCAUGCCGCGUGUGUGAAGAAGGCCUUCGGGUUGUAAAGCACUUUCAGUGGGGAAGAAAGCCUUGGGGCUAAUACCCUCGAGGAAGGACAUCACCCACAGAAGAAGCACCGGCUAACUCCGUGCCAGCAGCCGCGGUAAUACGGAGGGUGCGAGCGUUAAUCGGAAUUACUGGGCGUAAAGCGCGCGUAGGCGGUCUGAUAAGCCGGUUGUGAAAGCCCCGGGCUCAACCUGGGAACGGCAUCCGGAACUGUCAGGCUAGAGUGCAGGAGAGGAAGGUAGAAUUCCCGGUGUAGCGGUGAAAUGCGGAGAGAUCGGGAGGAAUACCAGUGGCGAAGGCGGCCUUCUGGACUGACACUGACGCUGAGGUGCGAAAGCGUGGGUAGCAAACAGGAUUAGAUACCCGGGUCGUC
rnacentral:rRNA from 1 species